rnacentral:rRNA from 1 species
AUAAUACUCCAUAGAUUAGAGACACUGGAAUGUUCUUUAGUCGAAAGUUCUGGCGCCUUAGGAUGGAUCUGCGGUCGAUUAGGUUGUUGUUGGGGUAACGGCCCAACAAGCCUGUAAUCGAUACGGGUUGUGGGAGCAAGAGCCCGGAGACGGAAUCUGAGACACGAUUCCAGGCCCUACGGGGCGCAGCAGGCGCGAAAACUUUACAAUGCAGGAAACUGUGAUAAGGGAACUCCGAGUGCCCGUAUACGCGGGCUGUCCAGGUGUUUAAAAAUCAUCUGAAGAAAGGGCCGGGCAAGACCGGUGCCAGCCGCCGCGGUAAUACCGGCGGCUCGAGUGGUGGCCACUAUUAUUGGGCUUAAAGCGUCCGUAGCUGGACCGAUAAGUCUCUUGGGAAAUCCGCCGGCUCAACCGGCGGGCGUCUAAGGGAUACUGUUAGUCUAGGGACCGGGAGAGGUGAGAGGUACUCCGGGGGUAGGAGUGAAAUCCUGUAAUCCCCGGGGGACCACCGAUGGCGAAGGCAUCUCACCAGAACGGCUCCGACAGUGAGGGACGAAAGCUGGGGGAGCGAACCGGAUUAGAUACCCGGGUAGUCCCAGCCGUAAACUAUGCGCGUUAGGUGU